GCUGAAGCAGGAACUCAGCCGACUGAAAGCAAACUCGGCAAACACGACAUCAGCAGCAGCGACAUCGACGUCUUUCAGCGUAGCCACUCAGACAGUGCCAAUUGUUUUCCUUCCGUAUCCGGCAUCGUCUUUGGCAUCGACCUCCGCCUCGACCUCGACCUCUGCUUCCGCCUCC